rnacentral:rRNA from 1 species
UACGUAGGGUGCGAGCGUUGUCCGGAAUUAUUGGGCGUAAAGGGCUCGUAGGCGGUUUGUCGCGUCGGGGAGUGAAAACCAGGUGCUUAACACCUGGCUUGCUUUCGAUACGGGCAGACUAGAGGUAUUCAGGGGAGAACGGAAUUCCUGGUGUAGCGGUGAAAUGCGCAGAUAUCAGGAGGAACACCGGUGGCGAAGGCGGAUCUCUGGGCCGUAACUGACGCUGAGGAGCGAAAGCAUGGGGAGCGAACAGG